UAACCCCGCUCUUACACAUUCCAGCCCUGAAAAAGGGCAUCAAAUUAAACCACACCUAUG
rnacentral:misc_RNA from 1 species